rnacentral:rRNA from 1 species
AGAACGAACGCUGGCGGCAGGCUUAACACAUGCAAGUCGAACGCCCCGCAAGGGGAGUGGCAGACGGGUGAGUAACGCGUGGGAAUCUACCUGGUUCUACGGAAUAACUGAGGGAAACUUCAGCUAAUACCGUAUACGCCCUAAGGGGGAAAGAUUUAUCGGUGCCAGAUGAGCCCGCGUAAGAUUAGCUAGUUGGUGGGGUAAUGGCCUACCAAGGCGACGAUCUUUAGCUGGUCUGAGAGGAUGAUCAGCCACACUGGGACUGAGACACGGCCCAGACUCCUACGGGAGGCAGCAGUGGGGAAUAUUGGACAAUGGGCGAAAGCCUGAGUCCAGCCAUGCCGCGUGAGUGAUGAAGGCCUUAGGGUUGUAAAGCUCUUUCAGUGGGAAGAUAAUGACGGUACCCACAGAAGAAGCCCCGGACUAACUUCGUGCCAGCAGCCGC